rnacentral:rRNA from 1 species
UACGUAGGGUGCGAGCGUUGUCCGGAAUCACUGGGCGUAAAGCGCACGUAGGCGGAUUUGUAAGUCAGGGGUGAAAUCCCGGGGCUCAACCUCGGAACUGCCUUUGAUACUGGCAAUCUCGAGUCCGGAAGAGGUUGGUGGAACAGCUAGUGUAGAGGUGAAAUUCGUAGAUAUUAGCUAGAACACCAGUGGCGAAGGCGGCCAACUGGUCCGGUACUGACGCUGAGGUGCGAAAGCGUGGGGAGCAAACAGG